GGUUACAUUGCUCCAGAAUAUGCAUACACACUGCGGGUGAACGAGAAGAGUGAUAUAUACAGCUUCGGUGUGGUCAUCCUAGAGCUUGUAACGGGGAAACGCCCUGUAGAUCCCGAGUUUGGGGAAAAGGAUCUGGUGAAAUGGGUGUGCAGCACGUUGGACCAAAAGGGUGUAGAUCAUGUCAUUGACCCUAAACUUGAUACUUGUUUCAAGGAGGAGAUAUGCAAGGCCCUAAACAUUGGCCUACUCUGCACUAGCCCUCUCCCAAUUAACCGACCCUCGAUGAGACGAGUCGUUAAAAUGUUGCAAGAAGUAGGUGGUGGAAACCUGCCCAAGGCUGCUUCAAAGGAUGGCAAGUUGACACCUUAUUACUAUGAAGAAGCAUCUGAUCAAGGAAGUGUAGCUUAAGAAUGUCUCAACAAAUUUUGUCAUUUAACUUCUUUGUUCAUCUGCUAACUACUCAAUUCUUUCCCCACUAGAUGUUUGGGUUGAUUUGAAAGAAAGAAUUGAAGUUAAAUGAAAAAAAG
rnacentral:misc_RNA from 1 species